rnacentral:tRNA from 1 species
GUGCGGAUGGCCGAGAGGAUAGGCACUGGGCUGCAACCCCAGGCACGCAGGUUCGAAUCCUGUUCUGCACUC